UCAUGGUAUAUAUAACCACAUGUACAUAUAUAAGGAACCACCACUGAAUUCUACCCAACAAAUGUUCACUAGGUGCACUGUUGGCUAUCCUCAACCAUGCGCCAAACAACAGAACACUCGGGAUUCUACAGGGCUUUGCUACUGGGCUUAUGCUCAGCAUGUCUUUCUUUGACUUGGCUUACGAUGCUGUCAACGCCAUCGGCUUUCUGAGAGGGAACCUCUGGUUUUUCGCUGGAGCGCUGCUGUUUUCAACAAUCGCGGACGUUUUCCCUGAGCCAGACUGCAGUGCGGCAGAUGAAAACAAUCCUAGAUCAAUUCUG